UUCCUACGGGGGGCAGCAGCCGCGGUAAUACGGAGGAUCCGAGCGUUAUCCGGAUUUAUUGGGUUUAAAGGGAGCGUAGAUGGGUUGUUAAGUCAGUUGUGAAAGUUUGCGGCUCAACCGUAAAAUUGCAAUUGAUACUGGCAGUCUUGAGUACAGUUGAGGUAGGCGGAAUUCGUGGUGUAGCGGUGAAAUGCUUAGAUAUCACGAAGAACUCCGAUUGCGAAGGCAGCUUACUAAACUGCCACUGACAUUGAUGCUCGAAAGUGUGGGUAUCAAACAGGAUUAGAUACCCCUGUAGUCCACCG
rnacentral:rRNA from 1 species